AUGGCCACGGAGAGGUUCUUCAGGGCGCUCGUCUUCUGCGAGGCGCCGCUUGACGGCUACGGCACCUCGGUGCUCACCGCCGGCGGGAUGAACAGGCUGGUCGUCUCUCGAGGCAGUGCGACGCCGCCGGAGGCCGUGUCUAGCAGGGUUGACGCUGAGAAGGGGCAGGGUUCCUUGUCUAGCAAGCCGCUGGCGCAAAGGCGCGCUGGGUUCGAGCUGGCGUUCGACGGACUCAAUUGCUUUGACACCGUCGUCAUGCACUGA
rnacentral:rRNA from 1 species